UUGUGCUAGACGGAGAGUUAGCGGUCCUCUUAACCUGAAAUCCGCUAUAUGCAGGGUUGAAUUCCGUUGAGCGGAUAUUUAUGAAUUGUAAAUGAAAGAAUAAUUUAUAUUGACCUUUUCAACUUUAUGCAAUAAAAAUAAUCUAAAACCCGUCAGGUCUGGAAGGAAGCAGCGGUAGGAUUAUUUUUAUGUGCCAUAAACCCCUGAGAAGUAGUAACUUGUUUUUUAUAUUUACUUUAAACAGAGUAUACAAUCAACGGUGCACAC
rnacentral:SRP_RNA from 1 species